rnacentral:rRNA from 1 species
UACAGAGGGUGCGAACGUUGUUCGGAAUUACUGGGCGUAAAGCGCGUGUAGGCGGCGCGGUAAGUCGGGUGUGAAAUCUCGGAGCUUAACUCCGAAACUGCAUUCGAUACUGCCGUGCUUGAGGACUGGAGAGGAGACUGGAAUUUACGGUGUAGCGGUGAAAUGCGUAGAUAUCGUAAGGAAGACCAGUGGCGAAGGCGGGUCUCUGGACAGUUCCUGACGCUGAGGCACGAAGGUCAGGGGAGCAAACGGG